rnacentral:rRNA from 1 species
GAUGAACGCUGGCGGCGUGCCUAACACAUGCAAGUCGAACGGAGAUUACGGACGGAAGUUUUCGGAUGGAAGCCUGUAAUUCUUAGUGGCGGACGGGUGAGUAACGCGUGGGCAACCUGCCCUAUACAGGGGGAUAGCAGCUGGAAACGGCUGGUAAGACCGCAUAAGUCGGUUAAAUCGCAUGAUUUGAUCGGGAAAUGAGCAAUCAGGUAUAGGAUGGGCCCGCGUCCGAUUAGCCAGUUGGCAGGGUAAAAGCCUACCAAGGCGACGAUCGGUAGCCGGACUGAGAGGUCGGACGGCCACAUUGGGACUGAGACACGGCCCAAACUCCUACGGGAGGCAGCAGUGGGGGAUAUUGCACAAUGGAGGAAACUCUGAUGCAGCGACGCCGCGUGAGUGAAGAAGUAUUUCGGUAUGUAAAGCUCUAUCAGCAGGGAAGAUGAUGACGGUACCUGACUAAGAAGCCCCGGCUAACUACGUG